UACGUAGGGUGCAAGCGUUGUCCGGAAUUAUUGGGCGUAAAGAGCUCGUAGGCGGCUUGUCGCGUCGGAUGUGAAAGCCCGGGGCUUAACUCCGGGUCUGCAUUCGAUACGGGCAGGCUAGAGUUCGGUAGGGGAGAUCGGAAUUCCUGGUGUAGCGGUGAAAUGCGCAGAUAUCAGGAGGAACACCGGUGGCGAAGGCGGUCUCUGGGCAUACUGACGCUGAGGAGCGAAAGCGUGGGGAGCGAACAGG
rnacentral:rRNA from 1 species